rnacentral:rRNA from 1 species
UACGGGGGGGAGCAAGCGUUGUUCGGAUUUACUGGGCGUAAAGAGCGCGCAGGCGGUCGAUCAAGUCGCGUGUGAAAUCCCUCGGCUCAACCGAGGAACUGCAUCCGAUACUGGCGGGCUUGAAUCCGGGAGAGGGAUGUGGAAUUCCAGGUGUAGCGGUGAAAUGCGUAGAUAUCGGGAGGAACACCAGUGGCGAAGGCGGCUCUCUGGACAGGUACUGACGCUGAGACGCGAAAACGUGGGGAGCAAACAGG